CGAGAGGCCCAAACGUUAUUCGGAAUUACUGGGCUUAAAGAGUUCGUAGGCGGCAUGAAAAGUAGGGUGUGAAAGCCCUCGGCUCAACCGAGGAAUUGCGCUCUAAACUGUCGUGCUAGAGGAAGCUAGAGGUGAGCAGAACAGAUGGUGGAGCGGUGAAAUGCGUUGAUAUCAUCUGGAAUACCGGAGGCGAAGGCGGCUCACUGGGGCUUUUCUGACGCUGAGGAACGAAAGCCAGGGUAGCGAACGGGAUUAGAUACCCCGGUAGUCCUGGCCGUAAACGAUGAGCACUAGGCCGGAGGGCUGCACAGCUUUUCGGCCGUAGCUAAAGUGUUAAGUGCUCCGCCUGGGGAGUAUGGUCGCAAGGCUG
rnacentral:rRNA from 1 species